UCCUACGGGAGGCAGCAGUAGGGAAUCUUGCGCAAUGGGCGAAAGCCUGACGCAGCAAUGCCGCGUGCGGGACGAAGGCCCUAGGGUCGUAAACCGCUUUCAGUAGGGACGAAAAUGACGGUACCUGCAGAAGAAGCUCCGGCCAACUACGAGCCAGCAGCCGCGGUGAUACGUAGGGAGCAAGCGUUGUCCGGGAUUACUGGGCGUAAAGGGCUCGUAGGUGGUUGAGUAAGUCAGAUGUGAAAUCUCAGGGCCCAACCCUGAGCCUGCAUUUGAUACUGCUCUGACUAGACUCCGGUAGGGGAGUGCGGAACUCCUGGUGUAGCGGUGAAAUGCGCAGAUAUCAGGAAGAACACCGACAGCGAAGGCAGCACUCUGGGCCGGUACUGACACUGAGGAGCGAAAGCAUGGGUAGCAAACAGGAUUAGAUACCCUGGUAGUCCAUGCCGUAAACGUUGGGCACUAGGUGUGGGGAGAACUCAACUCUCUCCGCGCCGUAGCUAACGCAUUAAGUGCCCCGCCUGGGGAGUACGGCCGCAAGGCUAAAACUCAAAGGAAUUGACGG
rnacentral:rRNA from 1 species